UACGAAGGGGGCGAGCGUUGUUCGGAAUCACUGGGCGUAAAGCGCACGUAGGCGGAUAUUUAAGUCAGGGGUGAAAUCCCAGAGCUCAACUCUGGAACUGCCUUUGAUACUGGAGAGCUUGAGUCCGGAAGAGGUGAGUGGAACUCCGAGUGUAGAGGUGAAAUUCGUAGAUAUUCGGAAGAACACCAGUGGCGAAGGCGGCUCACUGGUCCGGUACUGACGCUGAUGUGCGAAAGCGUGGGGAGCAAACAGG
rnacentral:rRNA from 1 species